rnacentral:ncRNA from 2 species
UUCUUUCUCGCCAUGACAGGUGCCGGUUUAAAAGCCGGAGAAUAGGGAAGUACGUGAGAUUCGUACACUGUACCCGCAACUGUACAACGGUUAACCGCCGGGCAAAUUCCGUGGCCACACGGAUGCGCAAGGCGGGCUUUCAGGUCACUGCCGGUUUUCCUCCACGGAAAACUGCGGGAAGGUUUGGAGGCGCUCGAUGCCGUGAAAGUCAGGAGACCUGCCAGUCAUGCAUUUGCACC